GGAGGGAGGGCAGAAGAGUCCACAACCCGGCUCAGGCUCAGAUGGUAACAGCAAGAAGCGGGCGCGAAC
rnacentral:SRP_RNA from 12 species